rnacentral:rRNA from 1 species
GCGGACGGGUGAGUAACACGUGGGUAACCUGCCUGUAAGACUGGGGAUAACUCCGGAAACCGGGGCUAAUACCGGAUGGUUGUUUGAACCGCAUGGUUCAACAUAAAAGGUGGCUUCGGCUACCACUUACAGAUGGACCCGCGGCGCAUUAGCUAGUUGGUGAGGUAAUGGCUCACCAAGGCAACGAUGCGUAGCCGACCUGAGAGGGUGAUCGGCCACACUGGGACUGAGACACGGCCCAG